AUUACUUUGGCAGAUGAAUGCACUAGAUUUAGGAUCUAAUCAUAUAGAAAAAUUACUAUAAGUAAUA
rnacentral:tRNA from 1 species